GUAAACAUGGGGUUUGUGUUUAUCCAGGAUGGAAUUGAUUAUUGUAUUAGCGAUCUCUCGCCGUCUGACGGAUUACCAGACAUCCUAGUGGCUCCAAACAAAUAACUCUUGUUAGAGGAGUGACCAAAAAGUUAUCAGUAAUGCCUUCAUCUGCACUGAAGGAUGCCUGGCAUCGUCUGAGAAGUCUUCUCACAGAUACCAGUAGGAUUCCCCCAUCAUGGCUUGUUCUCCAGCCCUGGAACAUUUUGGAAGAGUGAGUGUGGACUUUCCAGCACAUUCUACAGCUCCCUCGUUUGCAAUGGCAAUGGAGGGGCAUUCCUAGGAAGAAAGCAUGCCUCCCGAGAGGUUCUAUUAAAUCGACUUGACUGUCAGGCAUCACUGAAGAGUUACAACAAGAAAGAAGGCACAUUGCCUUCAUCUCCCCAGCUCUUUGUGUCUGGGUACAUUUUUGGUUUCAGCUUCCAAAUUAAGUCUCUGCAGGUUUGGAGUGGUCAGCUCAGCUUUCGUUCCUAAAAAACCCACAGCAGCUGGAGUUGAUUCAGGUGAGCUGAGGCUUCGGCAGCCCCGAGGCUGGCCCAGAAGGACUACCGCAGUCAGCAGUAACCACAUUCUUCUCUACCCAAGCCAAGCUUGUUGAAAUAUCUAGCGGCAGUCCACAUUUGCUGUACGUGAGUAAUUUGGUGGAUGGAAAAAUAACAGUGGGCUAUAAUGAAAAGUGAAUUCAUGAGCCUCUGACUGUGAAUUUAUACACAGCCAGACUUGUAUUGUAGUUAGGCACCUUGGUAAGAAAAUCCCAUAUAUAAAAAGUUGAAGAGAACAAAAUGACUUCUCAUUUUUGAAGACGGCCAUGAGUUACUCUUCAAAGAUCCAAAAUCUCUUAUGAGUUAAACG